GACGAACGCUGGCGGCGUGCUUAACACAUGCAAGUCGAGCGAGGCCCACACCUUCGGGUGUGGUGCCCUAGCGGCGAACGGGUGAGUAACACGUGGGCAACCUGCCCCUAGCACUGGGAUAAGCCCGGGAAACCGGGUCUAAUACCGGAUAUGACGUCGGAGGGCAUCCUCUGUCGGGGAAAGGAUGCUGGCUAGGGAUGGGCCCGCGGCCUAUCAGCUUGUUGGUGGGGUGAUGGCCACCCAAGGCGCCGACGGGUAGCCGGCCUGAGAGGGCGACCGGCCAAACUGGGACUGAGACACGGCCCAGACUCCUACGGGAGGCAGCAGUGGGGAAUAUUGCACAAUGGGCGAAAGCCUGAUGCAGCGACGCCGCGUGAGGGAUGACGGCCUUCGGGUUGUAAACCUCUUUCAGCUCCGACGAAGCGAAAGUGACGGUAGGGGCAGAAGAAGCACCGGCCAACUACGUGCCAGCAGCCGCCGUAA
rnacentral:rRNA from 1 species